GGGAAGCGCAGUUAAGAAGCGCCGAAAAGCGUUGUAAACGCUCAAUCAGGCUUACCCUUCACACGGGAGGGGUCGCAGGUUCAAUCCCUGCAUCGCCCACCA
rnacentral:tRNA from 1 species